GACGAACGCUGGCGGCGUGCCUAAUACAUGCAAGUAGAACGCUGAAGAAAGGAGCUUGCUUCUUUUGGAUGAGUUGCGAACGGGUGAGUAACGCGUAGGUAACCUGCCUUGUAGCGGGGGAUCACUAUUGGAAACGAUAGCUAAUACCGCAUAACAGCUUUUGACACAUGGUAGAAGCUUGAAAGAUGCAAUUGCAUCACUACGAGAUGGACCUCGGUUGUAUUAGCUAGUAGGUAGGGUAACGGCCGACCUAGGCGACGAUACAUAGCCGACCUGAGAGGGUGAUCGGCCACACUGGGACUGAGACACGGCCCAGACUCCUACGGGAGGCAGCAGUAGGGAAUCUUCGGCGAUGGGGGCAACCCUGACCGAGCAACGCCGCGUGAGUGAAGAAGGUUUUCGGAUCGUAAAGCUCUGUUGUAAGAGAAGAACGUGUGUGAGAGUGGAAAGUUCACACAGUGACGGUAACUUACCAGAAAGGGACGGCUAACUACGUGCCAGCCGCCGCAGUAA
rnacentral:rRNA from 1 species